rnacentral:lncRNA from 1 species
AUAAAUAGGAAUUGCUAGUUAUACCUUGUUGAAAAAAUACCUUUUUUUUUGGAACUAGCCAUUCAAUUUCUUUUAUAGAGAGAUUUGUUAAGUAAGCAAAUGUAGCAUGUUUAUUGAAGGCUGUCUAUUGCAUAUGUACUUUGAAGGAAAUCAUGGCAUAACUGUUGAUGUGAGUAGUUGCAUGAUCUAGUAGUUGAACAUUCUGGGACUUGCUCCCUUUGUUUUGUUACUCAAAGGACCCUUGAGCUCCCAAAGAUCAAGGACUAUUGAUGAGUUGUGAGGGGCCUAUGGAGAAACUCAAGAGAACCCUCAUCAUUCUCGGAAUGAUUUGCCUUGGGGAUGUGAAGAAAGUCAGAACUCCCAAUUGAGUCCCAUGCAAUUGGUUUGUGCUUGGUCCUCAUCAUUCUCGGAAUGAUUUGCCUUGGGGAUGUGAAGAAAGUCAGAACUCCCAAUUGAGUCCCAUGCAAUUGGUUUGUGCUUGGUCUUUUUUUUUUUUUUUUAAUUGCAGCAGCCUUGGAUGGACUGUCUUUUGUUUAUUGAGUAGGACCUGUGAAUAAACCUAACAGACUUGAUUAAAGUGAAAGUGAUGAUUGGCUUGACCAUGGGUAAGAGCAAGUUUAAAUCCUGAUAUUGAGGCCUAUCUUGGGUUUGUUUCCAAGUUGUUACAAUACCAAGAUGGACCUAAACAAUUAGCAGAAAACAAAAAUAAAAUUUUUAAAAAAAUUGAUGUCCCAAGAUGCCAAGCCAUCCCAAGUGUUGGGAUGCGACAUUCCUGAUCUGUCUCAGCUAUGAUGGAUGAGAUGACUAGGUCUGGCUAGAGUGGGGAUCCUGGAUGUGACCCA